UCUGAAUAAGACACGGCAGUGUGACAGUGAGUCAGCAUGCUAAAUACAAGACUCUGAAACUAAAGCAGUGUUCAUUAGAUCUUUUACUCUCCUGCUUGUCUCACUAUGACAUGUGGAAAAAUAUGUCAAAUCCUCAAUAAUGAAUUGCUUGCAAUAGCUGCUUCAUGCCCAGAUGGCAGCAUUGGCUGAGUCAGCAGUGACCGGUGGUCCAUGGUGUACUGGAUGAUUAGUGGUCGACAACAGGACGAGAGCCGAACACUAAGAGCCUGAAGCGGAAAAACUCAGAUUUUAGUUUGGUCCUUUUUAAUAAAAUAAUGGCUAUUUAA